CUCACCACUGGUCCCCACAAAGACAGGACUCAGAGACAGCUGCCUAUUACCACAAGCCCCACUGGGUAGCACUAAGAUUUUAUUCUGACUCCAGUAGAAGGGGAUCUUCAUUGGGAUUCCAAAGGAGGCCUCAGCUUCCUGACCUGUAGAAUGAGGACAAUAAACCUUUCCUACAGAGAAUCCAUGAAUACUUCAACUAUAAAGGAGCCAUUCCAGGGAACCGCACUGCAGUGAGUUGUCAAGCCUCCCCAGCCUCCUCGGGAGGCCUGGUUCUCAUUCCUGAAGUUGGAUGAAUUGACUGGAAGCUCAGGAAGGAGGUUUCUCUUCAGGAAAGAAAUGGAAGGAUACAAGGGGGAGAAAUGGAAGCCCAUUUCCUGAGUUCUUAGAAUGAUGAUUAUUCCAUAAGAACACACUGAGCUAUCAAAGCUGGAAGGCCCCAGUGAAAACCACAAUGAACCUUCUCAGUAAGCUCAUGAGUGAUUGCACUGAAUGGUUUUCAUUUGGUAGAUGAGGGAACUGAAACCGAAAGAAGUUAAAUAAUUUGCCCAGAGACCCUCAGCCAAUAUCUUCAGGGUUUGAGAUUUAACUCAGGCAUAUUUAUUGCUUUGGAUUCUUAGUCGGAAACAAUAGAACCCAAUAUUGGUUAGUUUAAACAAGGAAGUAAUUUCAUAAAGGAUAUUGAGUGGGCCUGGCAAACCAGGCAUGGAACAAUAUCCUAAAUUAUGCCACUGAAUUAGUUCAGCAGCUUAUACUGCUAAUGUCACCUGCAGGUUGCUCAUGCUAGAACUUUUUCCCACUGCAGCUUCCAGGAGCUGGAUGUAGCUGCCACCACUCUUGUUUAAACCAAUUCCUCCUGGUGCCACUUCCCCUGCAUGAAAUAGUUUACAGAGGCUUCUCAUAGUCCGAACCCAAGUUAUGUGCCUGCAACUUAGCCACAAGGGCAUUCAAGAAAGUGAAUAUAUGGCUUCUACAGAGGGAAGAAAUUUCUUUAUCCUAUUAAGGUGGGGGAAAAUCUCCAACAUGGCUAAGUGUUCCACAAUACUGGGGGUGUAGAGACUUUGCUUGUUCUUAGCUGAAUUCCCAGUGCUCUGAACACUGCUUAGCCACAUAGUAGAUGUUAUGGACUGAAUGUUUACAUCCUCCUCUAAAUUCAUAUGUUGAAGCCCUAACCCCCAGUGUGAUGGCAUUUGGGAGGUAAUUACGUAUAGAAGAGGUCCUUAGGAUGGGGCAUCCAUGAUGGGAUCAGUGCUUGUAUAAGAGGAAGAGACACCAGGGCUCUCUCCCUUCACCAUGAGAGGACACAGCAAGAAGGAAGCCAUCUGCAAACCAGAAAGUGGGUUCUCACCAGGAGUUGAAUCAGCUGGCACCUUGAACUUGGAGUGUCC